UCCCUUGUGGCUCAGUGGUAAAGAAUCUGCCUGCAAUGCAGGAGACCCGGGUUCGAUCCCUGGGUUGGGAA
rnacentral:tRNA from 1 species